UACGUAGGGUGCAAGCGUUAAUCGGAAUUACUGGGCGUAAAGCGUGCGCAGGCGGUUGUGCAAGACCGAUGUGAAAUCCCCGGGCUUAACCUGGGAAUGGCAUUAGUGACUGCACGGCUAGAGUGUGUCAGAGGGGGGUAGAAUUCCACGUGUAGCAGUGAAAUGCGUAGAGAUGUGGAGGAAUACCGAUGGCGAAGGCAGCCCCCUGGGAUAACACUGACGCUCAUGCACGAAAGCGUGGGGAGCAAACAGG
rnacentral:rRNA from 1 species